AACAGCUGUAUAUCCUUCCACUUUGAAACUCUCUUUUUAGGAGGUAUCACGACUUUCAUGGCAGCCAUAUCUUUGUCAGCAAUUUGCUUUUUUUCAUCUUCCUUCGUUCCACGAAAACGAUCGCGUAUUCUACUUAACCAACUUUGGGAAACGGUAGUAUUAUGAAAUGAUCGGUGAGACACACAAGAAUUGAGGUAAAUUCGAAUUGACGGGGUUGUAAAAUUUCUAGAAAACAUUAUCAAAGGCUAUUAUGUAUCAUUUGAAAGUAAGAAAGAGAGGAUUGCAAUGAAAUUUGAACAAAUUGGGGGAUUAGGAAAGGUUAUAGAGAGGCAAUUAACGAGUAGUAGGUGGGUUUGAAGUUGUGGUACUUUGCAGAAUUUCAUUGAAAUUAAAAAGUACGUUCCUUUUGCUUUUGCUAUAAUUAAUUAUAUUAUCCUUACUAUCACUUUUCACCUUUCUUUGAUUUUAUCGGGUUAGGACUGAAUGCCCAAAACAGGCUAAAUCUUGCGUUACAAAUUUAAGAGCACCGAAAAUAUUAUUACAAAAAGAUAUUGUAUAGUAUAUUUACUUUUUAGUAUGGUGUAAUUUUGAUGCUGCAAGAAAUACAGACCAUGUAAACGAUCAAUUGACAUACUAGAAUAAGACGAAGUAAAAAAAUGAAAUGCUUUCCCUAUAUAUUUACGAACUUAAACUUGAGGGCUUAUUAUUAAAAUAACAGCCUCACAAAAGAUUCAAACGAGACUUAAUUAUAUGAAAGCACGAUCGUUUAGCAGACUUAAUUAGGCAAACAAGCUAAGAAAUCAUCUUCGCAUAAACAAAAUUAAAAAUAUCAAGAAAAAACUGUAAAACCCGGCUUUUUGUGAAUGUAAUCAUUUAAUCAAAGAAAGAUAUUAAACUCAGCAAGUUGAGUAAACAGAUGACAUCGAGUUAAGCAAUCUACUUACUUUUUAGAACUCGUAACAUUAAUUAAAAUACGAUGCACCAUUCCAAACCCUUAAAAAUCCUUAAUUAUCUCCACUGAAAAUAUUCAACCCAAGUCGUCCAAGACAUCUUCUGCGUGCUGAACAAGUUCAUUUACAAUUGAAAUAAAGUUAUCCAAAACGUUGGAAGCAGAAUUAAGGAUAAAUCCCUCUUCAUCCGUCUUCGAUUCUGACGACUUACCUUGUUCAGCAAAGCUGACUACCGGCUUAACGUUAAGAGAAAGUAAUUGUGAUUCCAACUGUUCGUUCAUCAAUCGUAAAUUGUAAUUAGAAAUUUCAAGGUCUUCAAUCUACAAA